rnacentral:tRNA from 2 species
AAGGCUUUAAGUUAUUAAAACUAAUAUCCUUCAAAGCUAUAAAUAAAGUUAAUCUUUAAGCCUUA